UGUGGCAAGACCUUCCAUUACAAUUCAUCCAUUGUGAUUCAGAAGGAGAGAAACCUUACAAGUGUAAUGAAUUUGGCAAGGUUUUUAAUCGCCAGUCAAGCCUUUCAGUUGAUCAUAGACUUCAUACUGGAGAGAACUCUUGCAAGUGUAAUGAAUGUGGCAAGGUUUUUAAUAAAAAAUUUAGCCUUGCACGUCAUGAUAGACUUCAUACCGGAGAGAAGCAUUACAAAUGUGAAGAACGUGAUAAAGCUUUCAGUCACAAAUAACACCUUGAAAGACAUAGGAAAAUUUAAUUUGGUAAUCAAAUGCCAUCAUAGAUGUCACACUGAUGAGAAACCUUACAAGUGUAAUGAGUGUGGCAAGACCUUCAGUCAGAUGUUACUGCUCCUAUGCCAUCGUAGACUUCAUACUGGAGACAAACCUUACUAGUGUAAUCUAUAUAGCAAGACCUUCAGUCAGACAUCAUUCCUUGUAAACCAUUGUAAACUGGAGGGAAACCUUACAAGUGUAAUUUAUGUAUCAAGACCUUUAGUCAGAAAUCAUCCCUUGCACAUCAUCAUGGACUUAAUACUGAAGAGAAACCUUACAAAAGUAAUGAAUGUGGUAAGGUUUUCAAUCAACAAGCACACCUUGCAUGUCAUCAUAGACUUCAUACUGGAGAGAAACCUUAAUGUGACAAAAUUUUCAGUUGCAAAUAACAACAUGAAAGACACAGGAGAAUUCAUCCUGGAGAGAAACCAUACAAAUGUAAGGUUUGUGACAAGACUUUUGGGCGUGAUUCGUACUUGGGACUACAUACUAUGUUCACAGUGAAGAGUAACCAUACAAGUGUAAUGAGUGUGGCAAAGCCUUUAGUAUGCAGUCAACACUUACUCACCAUCAAACAAUCCAUGGUAUAGGAAAACUUUUCUAAUGUAACAAUUGUCACAAAGCCUUCAGUAACUCUACAACCAUUGCAAAUCACUGGAGACUCCAUAAUGAAGAGAGAUCUUACAAGUGUAAUAAAUGUGGCCAAUUUUUCAGA